rnacentral:snoRNA from 2 species
UCUCAUAAAUGAAUAAAUAAAAUCUUAAAAAAAAAAGACUGGCUUAGGUGAACCCACUGGGGCUGGCUGGGGAAAAGGAGGAGGCUUGCUCCAGAAGGAACUGUCUGAGGGAU